GUCUACGGCCAGGCCACCCUGAACAAGCCCGAUGUCUGAUCUCGGAAGCUAAGCAGGGUUGGGCCUGGUUAGUACUUGGAUGGGAGACCACCUAGGAAGACCAGGUGCUGUAGGUA
rnacentral:rRNA from 1 species